CUUGCUUAUAUUACUAUACUUUUCUUACUAAAAAUAGAAAUACCCUGAACAAACUUCUAUUGAAAUAAUAAAUGAGAUAACAUGGCAACCAAUAAAAUUGCUUGUCUGAAUCAUUACACAACUCUAAAUAAUGGAUUUCAGGUAAUUGGAUGUCAUUUGAUAUUUGCAUGUAGGGACAGAUUUUUUUUUUGGCUUUAUAAUUUGCCUGUCCUUGUAAAGAUUGAAUUCAUUAAUUGUUCAUUUUAAUUUUUCCUGUUUGUGAACUAUUCACAGCACUUGGUUUUAGUCAGCAAAUAUAAUGCCAACUGACUUUCUGCUGGGUGAGUCAGUUAUUAGUUUACUAAAUCCUCCUUUUCCAUUACCAAAGAUGUUAAAUAGUUGUUGACAAUUGUUUCCUGAAUCUUUAAUUUUUUAUCCAAACUGGGUGAAAAGGGGGAAAGGGAAAUUUUCUUUAAAACUCAAUUUUUUUUAUUAAAACAUUAACCCAAUUUGCAUCAUAAAAGGAAAACUCUUCCAAGAU
rnacentral:lncRNA from 1 species